rnacentral:rRNA from 1 species
CCUACGGGAGGCUGCAGUGGGGAAUAUUGGACAAUGGGGGCAACCCUGAUCCAGCCAUGCCGCGUGUGUGAAGAAGGCCCUCGGGUUGUAAAGCACUUUCAGUGAGGAAGAACGCCUGGUGGUUAAUACCCAUCAGGAAAGACAUCACUCACAGAAGAAGCACCGGCUAACUCCGUGCCAGCAGCCGCGGUAAUACGGAGGGUGCGAGCGUUAAUCGGAAUUACUUGGCGUAAAGCGCGCGUAGGUGGCUUGAUAAGCCGGUUGUGAAAGCCCCGGGCUCAACCUGGGAACGGCAUCCGGAACUGUCAAGCUAGAGUGCAGGAGAGGAAGGUAGAAUUCCCGGUGUAGCGGUGAAAUGCGUAGAGAUCGGGAGGAAUACCAGUGGCGAAGGCGGCCUUCUGGACUGACACUGACACUGAGGUGCGAAAGCGUGGGUAGCAAACAGGAUUAGAUACCCCUGUAGUC